rnacentral:rRNA from 1 species
GACGAACGCUGGCGGCGUGCCUAAUACAUGCAAGUCGAACGCAUUUUCUUUCACCGUAGCUUGCUACACCGAAAGAAAAUGAGUGGCGAACGGGUGAGUAACACGUGGGUAACCUGCCCAUCAGCGGGGGAUAACACUUGGAAACAGGUGCUAAUACCGCAUAAUUCCAUUUACCGCAUGGUAAAUGGAUGAAAGGCGCUUUUGCGUCACUGAUGGAUGGACCCGCGGUGCAUUAGCUAGUUGGUGGGGUAACGGCCUACCAAGGCUGCGAUGCAUAGCCGACCUGAGAGGGUGAUCGGCCACACUGGGACUGAGACACGGCCCAGACUCCUACGGGAGGCAGCAGUAGGGAAUCUUCGGCAAUGGACGCAAGUCUGACCGAGCAACGCCGCGUGAGUGAAGAAGGUUUUCGGAUCGUAAAACUCUGUUGUUAGAGAAGAACAAGGAUGAGAGUGGAAAGUUCAUCCCUUGACGGUAUCUAACCAGAAAGCCACGGCUAACUACGUA